CCUACGGGAGGCAGCAGUGAGGAAUCUUCGACAAUGGACGAGAGCCUGAACCAGCCACGCAGCGUGAAGGAUGAAUGCCCUCUGGUUUGUAAACUUCUUUUAUAUGGGAAUAAAAUGUUCAGCGUGUGGGAUUUUGUAUGUACCAUAUGAAUAAGGAUCGGCGAACUCCGUGCCAGCAGCCGCGGUAAUACGGAGGAUGCGAGCGUUAUCCGGUUUUAUUGGGUUUAAAGGGAUCGUAGGUGGAUUGUUAAGUUAGUUGUGAAAGUUUUCGGCUCAACCGUAAAAUUGCAGUUGAAACUGGCAGUCUUGAGUACAGUAGAGGUGAGCGGAAUUCGUGGUGUAGCGGUGAAAUGCUUAGAUAUCACGAAGAACUCCGAUGGCGAAGGCAGCUCACUGGACUGCAACUGACACUGAGGCUCGAAAGUGUGGGUAUCAAACAGGAUUAGAUACCCCUGUAGUC
rnacentral:rRNA from 1 species